rnacentral:rRNA from 1 species
CCCUUAGAUGUUCUGGGCUGCACGCGCGCUACACUGAAGCUAUCAACACGUUUUCCCUCCCUGAGAAGGGCGGGUAACCUUUUGAAUCAGCUUCGUGGUAGGGAUCGGGGCUUGCAAUUGUUCCCCGUGAACCAGGAAUUCCUAGCAGACGCGAGUCAUAAGCUCGCAUCGAUUAAGUCCCUGCCCUUUGUACACACCGCCCGUCGCUACUACCGAUUGAACGUUUUAGUGAGGCAUUUGGACCGACGCAUCUCAGUUUAACCGCUGGUUUGUGUUGGAAAGACUUCCAAACUUGAGCGUUUAGAGGAAGUAAAAGUCGUAACA